rnacentral:rRNA from 1 species
GAUGAACGCUAGCGGCAGGCCUAACACAUGCAAGUCGAGGGAGAAGCCCUUUCGGGGGCAGAAACCGGCGCACGGGUGCGUAACGCGUAUGCAACCUACCUUUCACAGGGGGAUAGCCCGAAGAAAUUUGGAUUAAUACCCCAUAAUAUUAUUGGAUGGCAUCAUUUGAUAAUUAAAACUGCGGUGGUGAAAGAUGGGCAUGCGUCCUAUUAGCUAGUUGGAGUGGUAACGGCACCCCAAGGCUACGAUAGGUAGGGGUCCUGAGAGGGAGAUCCCCCACACUGGUACUGAGACAGGGACCAGACUCCUACGGGAGGCAGCAGUGAGGAAUAUUGGUCAAUGGUCGGAAGACUGAACCAGCCAUGCCGCGUGCAGGAAGAAUGCCUUAUGGGUUGUAAACUGCUUUUAUAUGGGAAGAAUAAGGUGUACGUGUACAUUGAUGACGGUACCAGAUGAAUAAGCAUCGGCUAACUCCGUG